rnacentral:rRNA from 1 species
AUACGGAGGGUGCAAGCGUUAAUCGGAAUUACUGGGCGUAAAGCGUACGUAGGCGGUUAUUUAAGUCAGAUGUGAAAGCCCCGGGCUUAACUUGGGAACUGCAUUUGAAACUGGGUAACUAGAGUUUUGUAGAGGGGAGUGGAAUUUCAGGUGUAGCGGUGAAAUGCGUAGAGAUCUGAAGGAACACCAGUGGCGAAGGCGACUCCCUGGACUAAAACUGACGCUGAGGUACGAAAGCGUGGGUAGCAAACAGGAUUAGAAACCCUAGUAGUCC